GAUGAAGAACGCAGCGAAAUGCGAUAAGUAGUGUGAAUUGCAGAAUUCAGUGAAUCAUCGAAUCUUUGAACGCACAUUGCGCCCCUUGGUAUUCCAUGGGGCAUGCCUGUUCGAGCGUCAUUUGUACCUUCAAGCCUUGCUUGGUGUUGGGUGUUUGUCUCGCCUCUGCGCGCAGACUCGCCUCAAAACAAUUGGCAGCCGGCGUAUUGAUUUCGGAGCGCAGUACAUCUCGCGCUUUGCACUCAGAACGACGACGUCUAAAAGUACAUUUUUACACUCUUGACCUCGGAUCAGGUAGGGAUACCCGCUGAACUUAAGCAUAUCAAUAAGCGGAGGA
rnacentral:misc_RNA from 1 species